rnacentral:tRNA from 1 species
UGUCCAGGGAUGGGAAUCGAACCCAGUGUUCCGCUUACCGGGCAGAUGCCAUGUCCACUAGGCUUC